UUGUGCGAGAGAGGAGGGAAGAAAACAUCGGUGAAUGGGGACGAAAGAGAGAGAGAGCCACGAGCAGUUUUUUUUAUUCCCACGCAACUUCCUCUCUUUCCCAUUCCGACCGGCUAGGGUUCCGCCGGCGCCAUCCCUUCUCGUCCAGCGCUGGCCAACAGAGAAGGCGGGCGCGCGGAGGGGAUUCAACCUCGACCACGUCUGCGGCAACGGCGAAGGCCUCCGCUCGCAGGUCUCCGUCUCGCUGCUCGUCCGGGAGGCUGCGCGGAGGGGAUUCGCUGUGAGCGAGGUGCCGUGGAUCGGCAAGCGAGCGCUCGGGACGAGGACCUUUUCUUCUCCGGCCUCUUGGUAGUUGGGAUCCUCUGUCUUCUCGCCGUGGCUAGGGUUGCCGCCGUCGCCGCCCUCCCCAUCCUGACUCCUCUAGCGCCGGCCUCGACCGGCUUGGCGAUAAGGCACUGGUACUUCAGCUCCUAUGUCAUCCAUGAUUGACAGUGAUCAGAUGCCAACAAUGCAUGGGAGUGGAUGUCAUCACCCAGUGACGUGUCUCUUUGCCGAUUAUGGUUGGACCCUUUGCUGUUCGCGGAACCCAUAAUUCAUCCCAUAGUUCUUCCUCAACAUUGGUCGGGGGCGGGAUGGACCUACACAUCCGUCAAGCAUCAGGCAAACCUCCUGGGCGAGGCUUCCUUGUACAACAGAAAGCAUCAUCUGUGUGCCCUCCAGAUUCUCUUGUAGCACCUCCUGCUGCUUGCCCUUGCACGGUAGCAAGCCUAGCAGGUAGCAUCAACACAGGAAGGUGAGGUUGCCAGCGGCCGGUGGGUGGCUGCUCCAGCAAGAAACUAGCAGAGCCUAUCAUGUGGCAACAUGACUUAAGGGUAUAUGGCUUUGCUUGAGAAGCCCACACAGAGCCAACAGUCGAGUCUGGGAUAUUCAAAGCACUUGAAAGAGCAAACUACUCGAUGGAAGUAGGAAAGAUUAAUGAUAUUCUGGGUGUGGAAGAACCAACAAUGGAGUUUCUGCUACUGGACAGGUAACUGCAUAUGCGUAGGUGCCUCAUUGUUGGACUGCCAGCUCACACAUGAUAAUUAUGCUUACAAUACUAAUAGUACUGGCUCGUAUAUGUUCUAGAUUUAUUGUUGUCUCUUAUUUUUAUUUUUAAGUACCAGUUUCAAGUCUCUAUACAGAAAUCAUGUCUUUUGAAUUGGUAUUGCUACUAUUUAUCGAAUGUCAUGUGCAGAAGUACAUGACCACCUAUGUGAUAAGAUCGUUGUAAUGUCACAAUUAUGUACUCCGCCAUGCAACCACAUCUUUAUUGAAAUAUAUUGCAAAAAAAAUAUGAAAAAAAUCAUAGGAUGUUAGGAGGCCAAAGGAGCACUAUAGCAAGAGGAUAGGGACAGAGGGAGUCCCUAGCCCCUAGGUACCCUCCAGCCCAGGGCGCCUAGGAGGCGUGCUUGCGCACCCUCUGACCUCUAUCAUAUCUAUCACCAUUUUUCCUCCGCCGCACAUCCGUAUGUAGUCCAUAUUGGAAUCUCUAAAAGGUCUUGUAUUUAGGAAUGGAGGGAGCAGUUGACAUCUUGAAACACGACUAUUGCAUCCUUUGGAUUGUUAGGCCUCUAUAUAAAGGGGAUCCUCUAUGAGGAACAACUAAGCAGAGCAUAAGCCAAUAUUAUUCAUGGUCUCCUUGUAUGCAGCAGGCUUAGUUUAUCUUGUACUCCCUCCGUCCCAAAAUUCUUGUCUUAGAUUUGUCUAGAUACGGAUGUAUCUAACACUAAAACGUAACUAGAUACAUCCGUAUUUAGACAAAUCUAAGACAAGAAUUUUGGGAUGGAGGGAGUAUUUGUCCAGGUAAAAACAGCUGCACGUUCGACCUGAAGCUUCUCAAUUCUUUCCAGAUGCAUUAGAUAAUUGUACUGCCAUGUGUUUUUGGCUCCCAUGUAUCCUCCAAUUCAUCAGGUAUGCCUUCUUGCUGAACUAAUUAAUCACAUUUAACUAUAGCAUCUCAGUUGCAUCAUACUAGCUUUAUUCUAUGAUUUUGGCUUUCUAUGUGUAUGCUGAAAUAUGUGAUCAGAUAAGAAUAUCCAGUUGCAAAAGAAUAUGAAAUUGCCAAUUUACUUUCAAGGGUAGGCGGAGCUAAAAUAGUUUUGGUUGGUGACGUUUUUCUGUGAAUCCCUUUCACCCUAAUAGGUGACAUCCCUUCCUUUUUGUUAUCCACCCCAUGCAUCAGGCCUACCUCUGACUAGCUCCCUGCAAACAUUUUGGGCAUUUGAUAGCAAACUGGCGAAGUGGUUUUUUAUAACUAUAAUAAAUGGGGUUGAACUGGUUUUGAUAUUGUUUCUGGUACUAACCAGUAGGCUGUUACAAUUUUGUCCUUGUUCCCUCAUUUAAAGACUCAUUUUUGUCUUAUUUAGCAAGCAUCCUCUGGAAGUUGGCCAUGGUUUUGGUUCCCUACUCCUGACAGUAGUUGGGGUAGUGGCAGUUCGAAGGAUGAACUUCCAUGGAAGAUCGAAGCUUUAGUCCUUGACUCAGCUCGUGCACACCCUGGGGCUCUACGGUCAUUCGAAGUCCAUCAUGAUGAUUGCACACUUUUUACUGGGGGAGUUGGACAUGGUUUUAAAGGGUGUAUACAUCAUUGGGAGUUGUCCAACGUGUCAGUUUGUCUCACUACCUGCACAUGACUUUCUUUUUUGCAAUUAUUGUUGGAUGGUUUUUGAAUUAAAUGUAGUUUGUACAGAUCUUGUACUGGUGUUUGGCUUAGUGUAUGAAAUACUAAUAUAGGAUUAAUGGUUUAUGAAUUAUUAUAUGAUGGAUAGUGAUGGUAAAUUAUUUGAAGAUUGUUCUGUGUAGAUCAGAGUUAAACAUGUUUAUAACGAAGCCUUUUCUUGGAAUGAAAUUAAAUUUAUGACUUCAAAAGUACACCUCUAUAUCAAAAUAUAAGAUGUUUUUGCAGUUCAAAUUGAACUAAAAAAACGUCUUACAUUUUGGUAUAGAGGUAGUAAGAAUUUAGCAUUUGCUUGAUUGUCUAAUUUGAGAGCCUUCAUGUUCUCGGAUGUCUUUGUUUUCAACUCUUUGUUGAUGUCACCAUGAAGCUUGAAUAUUUUCCAUUCCUUGAUAAAUACAUUGCUCUACAGAAUUGGUUGAUUAAAGAAUUAACUCUUCUUCAUAGUAGUAUUUUCCUCAAAUUAUGAAACCUCCAACAACGUAGAGAGAUAACCAUUUUGUUAGUUUUUCAAUCAAAGCUUCCAUCAAAUAAUUUAUUACAAUUGUCCUCCAGCUUAUUCAGAAACUGCAUGAUUCGAAUGAUGGAUCAGAUGAGGCCGCUGGCCAUGGCGCAUAGGCCUGCUUACGGCGGGACAUGAAUUAGCUGAUGGCGACGCGUGCAGGCAGAGCUCGCCACCUUGAACCCAACACGAGGCGAAGCUGGAAGCCGACAUCACAGGCGCGCACGCGUCCAUGCCACGCUCCCCGAUGGCGGGUGGCACACCAAGCCGUCGUCUCCGUCCACCAUGAAGUGCCCCACCCUGUUAAGUAAAGGUGGAGAAUCCUCUUUGAAGUGUAUGGUGUUCCCUAUGUAGAAUUUUUGUUGAGCAAACAAUGUUGAGUGACUUUUUGAAUCAAGUAUGAUCUGGAUUGCACAGGAUACCGCCUGCUCUUUGUUGAAUGACUUUUUGAAUGAAGUGUGAUCUGGAUUGCA